GUGCCAGCAGCCGCGGUAAUACGGAGGGUGCAAGCGUUAUCCGGAAUCACUGGGUUUAAAGGGUGCGUAGGCGGCUGUAUAAGUCAGGGGUGAAAGGCUACAGCUUAACUGUGGAAUUGCCUUUGAUACUGUAUAGCUUGAAUAAGGAUGAGGUUGGCGGAAUGUGACAUGUAGCGGUGAAAUGCAUAGAUAUGUCAUAGAACACCAAUUGCGAAGGCAGCUAACUGGGCCUUUAUUGACGCUGAGGCACGAAAGCGUGGGGAUCAAACAGGAUUAGAAACCCUCGUAGUCC
rnacentral:rRNA from 1 species